GAAUAUUGGGCAAUGGGCGCAAGCCUGACCCAGCAAUGCCGCGUGAAGGAUGACGCCCCUCGGGGUGUAAACUUCUUUUGUGUGGGAGGAGCAAGGAUCGUACCACCCGAAUCAGUCACCGCUAACUACGUGCCAGCAGCCGCGGUAAUACGUAGGUGGCGAACGUUAUCCGGAAUUACUGGGCGUAAAGGGUCCGCAGGCGGGUCACCAAGUCCGGCGUGAAAGCUCCCGGCUCAACUGGGAGAGGGCGUUGGAAACUGGUGGUCUUGAAUCUCAGAGAGGUCGGUGGAAUUCCCGGUGUAGUGGUGGAAUGCGUAGAGAUCGGGAGGAACCUCGAAAGCGAAGGCAACCGGCUGGCUGAAGAUUGACGCUGAGGGACGAAAGCGUGGGGAGCGAACAGG
rnacentral:rRNA from 1 species